UCAGUGUUGCUGGCUGCUCCUGGGGCUGGGUUUGCCUGCUGGCAUGGGGUAGGUGGCAGAGGGCUGAGCAGGUGUGGUGGUCAUCCUGCUCCGGGGCUGCUCCCUCUGUGGGACAGCCAACUCCCGGCCCCACAGCAUCCUCUCCAGGUGCCGGCAGCGCUGCUGAACCUAAAAGGAGGCAGAAGGAGUGCCCAGCUCCUGCACGUGCAGCAUGGUCAGAUACAGCCUGGACAGGAGCAUUCACAAAGAGCCAGACCACACCGCUUACCACAUCGAUCCUGCGGACAAGGACGGGCCUGACCUCCAGCUCCAGCAGCCAGUCGGCUUCCAGGAUGCCGCGGUGGUACUCCUCCAGCUCCAGGUGCUUCUGCAGCUCCUCCAUCAGGGCAGCUGGAGGGCGGCUGCUCGCUCAGCACGGGGCAGCAGGACCAGGAGCUCCUCCCAGCUCUCCCGCAGCUGAGCCCGCAGCGCCCCAGCACUGCUCCCUGCUCCCCAAAGCUUCAUCGGAAUGGGAGAGUCUGGGGGUCGGGGAGCCUUACUGCUUGGCUGCACGGAGCCUGGAGGUGAGCAGUGGCUGUAUCUGCUCCGGUGCAGACGGACCCACUGCUGGGCAAGCUCAGCCGUGGCCAGGCUCCGGUGGAAG
ensembl:lncRNA